GCAGCCGCGGUAAUUCCAGCUCCAAUAGCGUAUACUAAAGUUGUUGCGGUUAAAAAGCUCGUAGUUGGAUCUUGGAAUGUGUUCAAGCGGGUCAGCUUCUGGCUGUGCGCUGCUUGACGUGUUCUUCUAUUUGGUUUUGGUGCGGUGCGCUUAACUGCGUGUCGCUCCCGGCCGAAACGUUUACCUUGAAAAAAUUAGAGUGUUCAAAGCAGACCUGUUUGAGUCUGAAUAUUCGUGCAUGGAAUAAUGAAAUAUGAAUUCGGUUCUAUUUUGUUGGUUUUCGGAACUCGAGUUAAUGAUCAAGAGGGACAGACGGGGGCAUUCGUACUCUGCCGUUAGAGGUGAAAUUCUUGGAUCGGCGGAAGACGCGCAACUGCGAAAGCAUUUGCCAAGAAUGUUUUCUUUAAUCAAGAACGAUAGUCGGAGGUUCGAAGACGAUCAGAUACCGUCCUAGUUUCGACUGUAAACUAUGCCAGCUAACGAUCAGACAGAGUUCUCUACGACUUGUCUGGCAGUUUCCGGGAAACCAAAGCGUUUGGGUUCCGGGGGAAGUAUGGUUGCAAAGCUGAAACUUAAAGGAAUUGACGGAAGGGCACCACCAGGAGUGGAGCCUGCGGCUUAAUUUGACUCAACACGGGGAAACUCACCCGGCCCGGACACAGUGAGGAUUGACAGAUUGAGAGUUCUUUCUUGAUUCUGUGGGUGGUGGUGCAUGGCCGUUCUUAGUUGGUGGAGCGAUUUGUCUGGUUAAUUCCGAUAACGAACGAGACUCUGGCAUGUUAAAUAGUCGCGGAAGUGCGUAUGCACUUGCCGAAUUGACUUCUUAGAGGGACUAGUGAUUUUAAUUCACACGAGAUUGAGCAAUAACAGGUC
rnacentral:rRNA from 1 species